GGUUAAGCGACUAAGCGUACACGGUGGAUGCCCUGGCAGUCAGAGGCGAUGAAGGGCGUGCUAAUCUGCGAUAAGCGCCGGUAAGGUGAUAUGAACCGUUAUAACCGGCGAUACCCGAAUGGGGAAACCCAGUGUGAUUCGUCACAC
rnacentral:rRNA from 1 species